rnacentral:rRNA from 1 species
AUCCAGACUCCUACGGGAGGCAGCAGUGGGGGAUAUUGCACAAUGGGGGGAACCCUGAUGCAGCGACGCCGCGUGGGUGAAGGAGCGUUUCGGCGCGUAAAGCCCUAUCGGCAGGGAAGAAGGAGGACGGUACCUGACUAAGAAGCCCCGGCUAACUACGUGCCAGCAGCCGCGGGAAUACGUAGGGGGCAAGCGUUAUCCGGAAUGACUGGGUGUAAAGGGAGCGUAGACGGUUGUACAAGUCUGAUGUGAAAGCCCACGGCUCAACUGUGGGAGUGCAUUGGAAACUGUAGAACUAGAGUAUCGGAGAGGCAAGUGGAAUUCCUAGUGUAGCGGUGAAAUGCGUAGAUAUUAGGAGGAACACCAGUGGCGAAGGCGGCUUGCUGGACGAAAACUGACGUUGAGGCUCGAAAGCGUGGGGAGCAAACAGGAUUAGAUACCCCAGUAC